GAUGAACGCUGGCGGCGUGCCUAAUACAUGCAAGUCGAGCGAUCAGACGUGUAGCUUGCUCCUCGGGCGUUAGCGGCGGACGGGUUAGUAACGCGUGGGUAACCUACCUAUGAGACUGGGAUAACUUCGGGAAACCAUAGCUAAUACCGGAUAAUAUAUUUAACCGCAUGGUUCAAGAGUGAAAGACGGUUUUGCUGUCGCUUAUAAAUGAGUCCGCGCCGAAUUAGCUAGUUGGUAAGGUAACGGCUUACCAAGGCAACGAUGCGUAGCCGCACUGAGAGGGCGACCGGCCACACUGGAACUGAGACACGGCCCAGACUCCUACGGGAGGCAGCAGUGGGGAAUUUUGGGCAAUGGGCGAAAGCCUGACGGAGCAACGCCGCGUGAGUGAUGAAGGUCUUCGGAUCGUAAAAUUCUGUUGUAAGGAACGAAAAGCUGUGUAAGUAAAUCCUCAGGUCAUGACGGUACCUAAACAGAAAGCCACGGCUAACUACGUG
rnacentral:rRNA from 1 species